rnacentral:lncRNA from 1 species
GUGAUAUCCUUUAGGUGAGAUGUCGUCUUCUCGAGGAAAUAAAAUAUUUCUCGGGUUGACUAUAUCUUUUGGGUGAGAUGUUAUCUUCUCGAGAAAAUGAAAUAUUUCUCGGGUUGAUGGUAUCUUGUAGGAUAUCGUCUUCCUGAGAAGAUUAUUCACAGGUUGACGAUAUCUUAAUUUUCAUAUUUUCCGAUACCAAAUCAGUUGAUUGAUUCAUUAAAACGGAUGAUAGAUGUCUACCUUCCGUGAUAAAAAAAAAUGAUUUUAUCAACUCAUAGCUACUACGGAGCUCUUUAAAAUAUAAUUAUUGUAAAAAAGAAAAGAAAAAAAAGUCUUUUACUGAAUCAAAAUCAUUAAAACAGCUUUUCUAACUGGAAAAUAAAAUAAAAAUGUAUGUCCGAAGUUUUAAAUCUUAAGUUCAGAAAAACUCGAUGAGGUUUCCUGUUUUGAGGGAUACCAAUGAAUAAAAAUUAAAGCAAAGCUAUAUAUGUAGCCAAAUAAAAUAUAAAAAUUAAAGUGCAUAAAAAAACAGGUUGUAAUGAAAUAAUAAUACAUCAAUAAAUAAAAUUUAGGAAGCUUUAGCGUGCUGCAAAAAGCGAGCAAAUAGCAGCUUGCAAGACAAUUAGGAACUUUGGGAAUCGGGGAGGGAACGAACGUAUUUAAUUUAUACCAACGUUAUCCUGAAAAUGCCUUUGUGCAUUGGCAGUAAUAACGCCAGUUGAAGUAUGAAGAAAAUUAAGUUUUAACGUUUGAGAUUUUAUUUGAAUAAUACAAACUGAAGAAUCAGCGAUGAAGACGGACCCUCGGAGAUGUUAUCAUAUCAACAGAAAUCAAUGUUAAUGGCCUUGCCUGCGGCCGCAUCACAACCAUAUUAAGUUUGCUUAUUAUUUUUGUGUAAAGCCGAAGGACUUACCUUGAAGAAAUAAUGGUGUAAAGAUGUUCAUUAUGCAUUCAUUUUCAAACUUUUGCGAAAUAAGUCUGUAAACUCAAUGUCCAUUGGAAUACCGCCCUCUAGAGGUUAAAAUAUAUGAUUGAGAAAGACGACACCCUUGAUGGGUGCUACCAUAAUCUCACCCUUGAUGAGUGCUACUUUUGAGAAAUACAACACCCUUAAUGUUACCAUUGAGAAGGACGGACACCCUUGAUGGGUGCUACUAUAACACCCUUGAUGGGUGCUACUAUUACACCCUUGAUGGGUGCUACUAUUGAGAAGGCGACACCCUUGAUGGGUGCUAUUAUUGAGAAGGACGACACCCUUGAUGGGUGCUACACCAUUUACUGUAUUGAUUAACACGACACACUUGAUGGGCAACACCCUUGACGGGUGCUACUAGUGAGAAGAACGACACCCUUGAUGGGUGCUACACGACACCCUUGAUGGGUAAGGCAACACCCUUGAUGGGUGCUACUAUUGAGACGAACGACACCCUUGAUGGGUGCAACUACUGUAUUGAUUAACACAACACCCUUGAUGGGUGAUCGAGAAAGUCCUCACCCUUGAUGGGUGCUUCUAUUGAGAAAUACGACACCCUUGAUGGGUGAUUCUAUUGAUAAAGACAAUACUGUUAGUGGAUACUUUUAUUGAGAAAUAUAACACCCUUGAUGGAUGCUACAUUGCCAACAAAUUAAUUCAGUAUAGAAUUAUUAAUGUAUAAAGUUGUAAAACCAGUAAGAGAUUGUUUUGUAGAGAAGACAAAGAGAGUUAAAGAUAAUAACUAUAUUUUCCAAGGAACCUCUCCGCACGAUUAAUAGUUCAUCAGACACAUUCUUACCAAGCACCAGAUGGGAAAAGAAUAAAAAUCAUAAUUUGUUUCUUAAUGCCAACACUUUUGGGUGUCAGUAAUGCACGAUUCCAAAAAAUAAUCACGUAUUUGAAAUGAGCACUAGCGCGCUCUCGGUUCGAUUGAAAACGUCUUUCAAAGAAGAUAACGUAUAAAAUUAAAAGGCAAAAAUCUUCAAAUGAAAAAUAAAUCAAUGAGGAGAAAUUCUAGCAGCGUAAAAGUGAAAUCGAAAAAAAAAAAACUAAAUGUCAAUUGUUUUGUUCGAUAAGAGUAGACGAUGGAUAUCGACCUGCGGGUAUAUUAAAACAGCAAAUGUAUCGUUCGUUAACGAUUACGAGUGAGUUCGUGUUGAGUUUGAGCGCGAACAAAGUUAGCGUCAAUCAUUAAAUUUUGUCAAUCAUUUGUUCGAUUUGUGAAUCGGAAGAAAAUAACUUAGACAUGGACCUGCGGCCGGGUAUGGGUUGAAAACAAAAAAAUGUAUCGUUCGUUCACGAUUUACGAGUUCGUGUUGAGUUCGAGUGCGAACAAAAUUAGCGUCAAUCAUUAAAUCUUGUCAUGCAUUUGUCAAUCAUUUGACCGAUUAGUGUAUAGGAAGAAAAUAAGACGGUGUAGGCCUAUAUCGACCUGCAUGUAUAUUAAAACAACAAAUGUAUUGUUCGUUGAUUACGAGUUCGUGUUUGAGUUAAGUGCGAACCAAGUUCGUGUUCGAGCUCGAGUGCGAACAAAGUUAAAAGAGUACAAGUAACGUACAAGAACGAAAUAUGUACACGACUACGAGUGUCUGCAGAAUAAUUGAUAGGGCCAUGUGAAAUUAUGAUUGGGCCAUGCAUAUAACUACAUAUAGCACCUGCUAUCGAGGAAGGAUUUUUAUGUCGAAAUCAUGAUGGGGCCAUGUGUAGUAAAUCGUUCUGUUUCUCUUUCAAUUUGCACCAUCUGUACAUUUUUGUGUUAUCAUGUCUACUGCUUGACAAGACAAUGAUUGUGAGCUGUAGUAGGGUCAAAGUUUGUACGAAAUAUUUUUUUCCGUUUGUAACAAUUCGUGUUGGAUAUUUAGGGCCAUGUGUACGAAUCAAACUUUUUGAAAUUCUAGUUGCGUCUAUCAUGCAUUUUCUUGUCGUUCCAUAUUGAUUGUCAUUGUGAAAAAAAUCCUAGGGCCAUGUGUACAAAACUGUCAUCACCGUUUUCUGCCAAACCCAAUUUUUCUUGCGUUAUCUUCUGUACUUAUGUGACAGAUUAUUUACAGGGGUCCAGGGCCAUGUGAACAUGUCCUACUUUGUUUUUGUAAAAAAUAUGUCCAAUUUAUUAUGCAAAAUUAUUUAGGGCCAUGUGAAGUAGUGUAGAGAUAUUCUAUUCCUCCGUUCUGUAGAAAUUUCUGCAAUUUUCUUGAAAUCUGCUUAUGCAUUCAUCCUGUCUUGAGUGCGAAUCAUCGUGUUAUAUACUCUAGGGUCAUGUGUUAAGUAUCCAUAGGUAUUUUGAAGCUUAAAAAAAGCUCAAAUGUUGGAUCUAAGUUUUCUUGUAUACUCUGUAUAUUCUCAUCUGUUGUAACUUCACCGUGGUUAAUGGAGUGAAAUACUCUAUAGGGUCAUGUUUAAGAAUCUACUUUAUUUGUCCAUGUGACAAAAAAAUUCUUGGAAAUCUAUCGUUUAAAAAAGCUCUACAUGUUUAGGGCCAUGUGCAGAUCUUACAGAUUCAUUGAAACUGUAGCGGUCGUGAAACGUAAUCAGAAUGAUGGGUUCAACGAUUCCACGAUUAUUUUGUGACAUGAAAUAGUCUCUGAUCCUUGUAGAAAUGUGUCUUAUGGACAUGAAGUAUUGUUUGUGAUUUGUUCUUCCAUUAUAUCCGAUUCGCAAAGAUCGAUCGAAUUGGCUUUUGUGUUAGGGCCAUUGUGUCAAUUUUGUUAAUGGUAAAUCAGGUGUAAUGACACCUGUAGCGUCGGAUACACCUUGUAAUCGCUACAAAACCUAGCUCCGCUAGGAAGACUUCUUUUAUUUUCAGCAACUUGCAAUUAGAUUAGGAGGACCGGCAAGCCAGAGUGUUCAUGUCAGGAGCUGCUGACACGGAGGAACCGGAAGCAGGGAGGAGGAACACCGGAUGACUGAAGACCCUGCUUGCCGGGCAUCCCAUUACUGAUUUCCCAGAGAUGACGGUCUGCAAAAUGAGAUGUCAUUCUGGACGAAGAUACAAUCACUUCUGAAUCCCAAGGAACCGGAAGCAGGGAGGAGGACCGACGGAAGGACUGAUGACCUGCUUGCAGAGCAAGUCUUCACCAA